rnacentral:rRNA from 1 species
AGAUUUUGAAUUAAAAGUAUUUUCUGCCCAAUGAUUAAAUUUUAAAUGGCUGCAGUAUUUUGACUGUGCAAAGGUAGCAUAAUAAUUAGUCUUUUAAUUGAGGACUGGAAUGAAAGGAUAUAUGAGAAACAUAUUUUAUUAUUUUUAUUUUUAAAAUUUUAUUUUUAAGUAAAAAAGCUUAAUUUUUUUUUAGGGACGAAAAGACCCUAUAGAACUUUAUUAUUUAUUAAUUUUGAAAAUUUUAGUUAAUAUAUUAAAUUAAUUAAUUAAAUAAUUUGAUUGGGGGGAUAAGUAAAUAUUUAACUUUAUUUUUUUAAUUCAUUUAAUUUAUGAAUUUUUUGAUCCGUUUUUUUUAUGAUUAAAAGAUUAAGUUACCUUAGGGAUAACAGCGUUAUUUUAGUGGGGAGAUCAUAUCUAUACUAAAGUUUGCGACCUCGAUGUUGAAUUAAGAAAAGUUUAAGGGGUAGUU